GGGAGGGAGUCGGCUGGAACUAAAGUGCUGCAUUGUGUGUACGCAGUGUUACGGCCGAGUUUGAGUGUGGCACUCUGGGUUCUUCCUCGGCUCCUGUUCUCCUCAGUGGUUAACUUACGGCGGAGAGACUUAUAUCAACUGCUGGCAAGAACACUGGAGUGAAUUGCCAUUUCCUACUACUCCAAGGGAUCUUCCUGACCCAGGGAUCGCACCCACAUCUCUUGCCUCUCCUGCAUUGGCAGGCGGAUUCUUUACCUCUGCACCACCUGGGAAGCCCUGCAUUUAUUUUCCUGGCUUUUCAUCUGUCCGAGAGAAAGCCUCUGAGGAGAACAGCCACCACAUCCAUGGCAGGGAUUUUGCGCUCAAUAGUUCAGAGGCCCCCAGGGAGACUACAAACGGCAACAAAAGGUGUGGAACCUCUUGUUUGUACAGACUGGAUUCGUCACAAAUUUACGAGGUCAAGAAUUCCAGAUGAAGUUUUUCGGCCUUCACCUGAAGAUCAUGAAAAAUAUGGUGGGGAUCCACAGCAACCUCAUAAACUGCAUAUUGUUACCAGAAUAAAAAGUACAAAAAGACGUCCAUAUUGGGAGAAAGAUAUAAUAAAGAUGCUUGGGUUACAAAAAGCACACACUCCUCAAGUUCACAAGAAUAUCCCUUCGGUGAAUGCAAAGCUGAAAGUAGUUAAACAUUUGAUAAGAAUCAAGCCCCUGAAGCUGCCCCAGGGUCUCCCAACAGAGGAGGACAUGUCCAACACGUGCCUGAAGAGCACUGGCGAGCUGGUCGUGCGGUGGCUUCUGAACCCCGCGGACCAGGAAGCGAAGAAGUGCUGACGGCCCAGCAGCUUCAGAGUAAACAGUGGAAGUCAUUUCUAUUUAAAGAUGAUGAGAUUAAUGAAGACACCAGUCAUAAAGCCGUCUCUUUUUCCUGACAGCGUCCAAUCCUGAGCAACACCUGCUUCUUUGAACACUCAUCAAAAUCAUCUAAUAAAAGCCAAAUCCUGUAAAGUCCUUCCCAAAGAACUUUUUCUGAGAUGCAAUAAAGGGAACUUACCAAGCUCCACGUGUGUCUUUGGGUCUGUGGCGAGCCAGCACUCUCGAUGCUCAUUCUUUAUUUUUUGGCUGCGUCAGGUCUUAGUUGGGGCACUGUGUUGUGUCUUGCAGGUUCUUUCAUUGCAUUGCCUGGGCUCAAGAGUUGCAGCGUGGGCUUAGUUGCCCCAUGGUAUAUGGGAUCUUAGUUCCCUGACCAGUGGUUGAACCCAAGUCGCCUGCAUUGCAAGGUGGAUUCCACUGGACCGCCAGGGAAGUCCCCUGAUGCUAAUUCUUGUUGCUCUCAGGGUCUAAGCUGCUAGGAUCUCUCCUUAAGAUCAUUCCACUCAGCC